AACGUAGGAGACAAACGUAUCCGGAGUUACUGGGCGUAAAGGGCGUGUAGGUGGUUUCGUAAGUCUGGCGUGAAAUUUUUCGGCUUAACCGGGAAAGGUCGUCGGAUACUGCAGAACUAGAGGACGGUAGAGGCGUGUGGAAUUCCGGGUGUAGUGGUGAAAUGCGUAGAUAUCGGGAGGAACACCAGUGGCGAAGGCGGCUUUCUGGUCUGCUCUUGACGCUGAGGCGCGAAAGCUAGGGUAGCAAACGGG
rnacentral:rRNA from 1 species